CCUACGGGGGGCUGCAGUGGGGAAUAUUGGACAAUGGGGGGAACCCUGAUCCAGCCAUGCCGCGUGUGUGAAGAAGGCCCUCGGGUUGUAAAGCACUUUCAGUGAGGAAGAACGCCUGGUGGUUAAUACCCAUCAGGAAAGACAUCACUCACAGAAGAAGCACCGGCUAACUCCGUGCCAGCAGCCGCGGUAAUACGGAGGGUGCGAGCGUUAAUCGGAAUUACUGGGCGUAAAGCGCGCGUAGGUGGCUUGAUAAGCCGGUUGUGAAAGCCCCGGGCUCAACCUGGGAACGGCAUCCGGAGCUGUCAAGCUAGAGUGCAGGAGAGGAAGGUAGAAUUCCCGGUGUAGCGGUGAAAUGCGUAGAGAUCGGGAGGAAUACCAGUGGCGAAGGCGGCCUUCUGGACUGACACUGACACUGAGGUGCGAAAGCGUGGGUAGCAAACAGGAUUAGCUACCCGUGUAGUC
rnacentral:rRNA from 1 species